GACGAACGCUGGCGGCGUGCUUAACACAUGCAAGUCGAACGGAAAGGCCCUGCUUUUGUGGGGUGCUCGAGUGGCGAACGGGUGAGUAACACGUGAGUAACCUGCCCUUGACUUUGGGAUAACUUCAGGAAACUGGGGCUAAUCCCGGAUAGGAGCUCCUGCUGCAUGGUGGGGGUUGGAAGGUUUCGGCGGUUGGGGAUGGACUCGCGGCUUAUCAGCUUGUUGGUGGGGUAGUGGCUUACCAAGGCUUUGACGGGUAGCCGGCCUGAGAGGGUGACCGGCCACAUUGGGACUGAGAUACGGCCCAGACUCCUACGGGAGGCAGCAGUGGGGAAUAUUGCACAAUGGGCGGAAGCCUGAUGCAGCAACGCCGCGUGCGGGAUGACGGCCUUCGGGUUGUAAACCGCUUUCGCCUGUGACGAAGCGUGAGUGACGGUAAUGGGUAAAGAAGCACCGGCUAACUACGUG
rnacentral:rRNA from 1 species